CAAUUCUUGUCGGAGUGCCUAGCGCAGACUUUCCUUAAGGGAAAAUUUGCCAGGCUGAGACCGUUAAUUCGGGAUCCGCGGAACCUGAUCGGGUUAGUACCCGCGAAGGGAACAAGAGUAAUUUAUUG
rnacentral:ncRNA from 2 species